UAUUAAAUGAUGAUAUUAUUUCUAUUAACCAUCUUUCGGGUCUGAAACCUGAUGCCAUUUAUAUAUUCUGAUAAUA